CGAGCAAUCUGCCCUUCUCUUUGGAAUAAGCGUUGGAAACGACGUCUAAUGCCGAAUACGACCUCCUUUCGCAUGAUCGGAGGUGGAAAGCUCCGGCGGAGAAGGAUGAGCUCGCGGCCUAUCAGCUAGUUGGUGUGGGUAACGGCCCACCAAGGCGACGACGGGUAGCCGGCCUGAGAGGGUGACCGGCCACACUGGGACUGAGACACGGCCCAGACCUCCGUACGGGAGGCAGCAGG
rnacentral:rRNA from 1 species